rnacentral:rRNA from 1 species
UCGCCUGUUUAUCAAAAACAUGUCUGUAUGGAAAUAAUAUAAAGUCUGGCCUGCCCACUGAGUAUUUAAAGGGCCGCGGUAAUUUGACCGUGCGAAGGUAGCAUAAUCAAUAGUCUCUUAAUUGGAGGCUGGAAUGAAGGGUUGUACAAGAAGUAGUCUGUCUUUUUUAUAAAAAUUGAAUUUAACUUUUAAGUGAAAAGGCUUAGAUUUUCUGGGGGGACGAUAAGACCCUAUAAAACUUUACAUGAGUUAGUUUGUUUUUGAAUUUGGGUAUUAAUAAAAAUUAUCUUUAUCUUGUUACGUUGGGGCGACGAAAAUAUAAUUUGUAACUGUUUGUAGAUUAAAAUAAAGGUAUUUAGACGAGUUGAUCCUGUAUUAUGGAUUAUAAGAGUAAGUUACUUUAGGGAUAACAGCGUAAUUUUUUCUGAGAGUUCUUAUCGACGAAAGUAGUUGCGACCUCGAUGUUGAAUUAAAAUUUCAUCAAGGUGUAGAAGCUUUGAUUGUAGGUCUGUUCGACCUUUAAAAUUUUACAUGAUUUGAGUUCAAACCGGUGUGAGCCAGGUUGGUUUCCUAUCUAA